GAGGAUUAAGUCAUGACCGAACAGAUUGACUUACAUUCGGUAUCCGGCGGAACAUGGUUCCAAAGGGGCGCUGAUUGACGCAUUGUUUCAUAUCCCACGCCCGAGGGGGCCGUGAGAUUAAGCCAACAUGGCAGGUGCUCACGUUAAACAUAUCAGACUUUCAUGUCCCUAUCUACUAUCUAGCGAAACCACAGCCAAGGGAACGGGCUUGGAAUAAUUAGCGGGGAAAGAAGACCCUUUUGAGCUUGACUCUAAUCUGGCAGUGUAAGGAGACAUAAGAGGUGUAGAAUAAGUGGGAGAUAUUAGACUUCGGUUUGGUAUCGCCAAUGAAAUACCACUACUCUUAUUGUUUCCUUACUUACUGAUAAAUGAAUCCACCCCCACGUU
rnacentral:ncRNA from 1 species